UACGUAGGGUGCGAGCGUUAAUCGGAAUUACUGGGCGUAAAGCGUGCGCAGGCGGUGAGCUGUGUCCGAUGUGAAAGCCCCGGGCUUAACCUGGGAAUGGCAUUGGAAACUGGCUCGCUGGAGUGUGGCAGAGGGGGGGUGGAAUUCCGCGUGUAGCAGUGAAAUGCGUAGAGAUGCGGAGGAACACCGAUGGCGAAGGCAGCCCCCCUGGGCUAACACUGACGCUCAGGCACGAAAGCGUGGGGAGCAAACAGG
rnacentral:rRNA from 1 species